UUUCAGAUUCUCGCUCCUCCCUGCCUUUCAAUCUUACAAGGUUGUUUGCUCUUCCAAUCAAGCAUUGAAGAUUCUUUUCAGAUUGGACAUGAGAUUGCAUCUGAAAUUACUGCUAUGAAACCAAAUCCAAUUGUUUGGAAGAUGGAAAAAGUUUAUAGCCCGUGCUUCCUCCUUAUUAAGAAGCGUUAUGUUGGUUACAGUUAUGAAAGCCCUGAACAGAUUGCCCAUGACAGUUCGCAGGGAUACAUGUGGGGCUGUUGCCAAGACAAUGGAGCAGUCUUUGAGACUUUUUUUUGAACAUCAGGAUAUGUAUGAGGUACAAAAGCAUGUGCUAUUCCUUUUGAUUGUACUUGAACUGGUUUGAUAAAAUCAAGGGUGAAGAGCAAAAGAUAGGACGUCCAUUGGUUGUUAGAGCAUACUUACAGCGUCAAUGGAAGCGGAUUCUAUCUGGAAGGGUGUCUCUUCAGGAUUUUGUAUUUGCAAAGGAGGUUCGCCUUGGCACCUACCGUGCUUGUAUCUAUUUUUCUGUUCUUAUUUCAUUACUGUCUGUCAUGUAUUGCCUUCUUGAUAUAUUUGAUUUAACACAUUGACUAAAACUUUGUUUUGGAAACAGAACUAGCUCUGUUCUUGUUUUGGCAGGAUAAACAAACAAUGUUAUUAUUAAUGGGAAGUAGCAGCAGCCCAGCAUUAGUGAAGAUUCAAAGGAAGCUAUGAAGCAUGCAUUCGAACUCUUUAAUGUUCGAUUGGAAGUAGACUUUGGGACUAGUGAUAUAGGACAUAGCUUAGGAUUGUAAUGAAUAUUUGUAAUUUAUUACAUUUGUCUUUUAUUAA